rnacentral:lncRNA from 1 species
ACCUCAACGCGAUUUAUUGUUAUUCCGAUAUUUGAUAUAAGAGUGUCUAACGACCUAGAAGAAAAAUUUUCUUCCUCUAAGGAAGUAUCAGGCAUCCCUUCUGACACAUAAAUCGUCAGAUAUGGUUAUGAUUUUUAGUUCUACAUGAACCCUAUUGAGGGAAAGAUGAUGAGAAUUGUGGGAUUAUCCAUAUGAAGUUCCCUCUCCAUAAUCACUCACUAAAUCAACACUAUCAUUACCCCUUUUGAAUAAAAGCAUAAAAUGC